GAUGAACGCUAGCGGCAGGCCUAACACAUGCAAGUCGAGGGGUAGAACACUUCGGUGUUUGAGACCGGCGCACGGGUGCGUAACGCGUAUGCAAUCUACCUUAUACAGGGGAAUAGCCCAGAGAAAUUUGGAUUAAUGCCCCAUAGCAUUACGACUUGGCAUCAAGAUGUAAUUAAAGUUCCAACGGUAUAAGAUGAGCAUGCGUCCCAUUAGUUAGUUGGUAAGGUAACGGCUUACCAAGACGAUGAUGGGUAGGGGUCCUGAGAGGGAGAUCCCCCACACUGGAACUGAGACACGGACCAGACUCCUACGGGAGGCAGCAGUGAGGAAUAUUGGUCAAUGGUCGCAAGACUGAACCAGCCAUGCCGCGUGCAGGAAGACGGUCCUAUGGAUUGUAAACUGCUUUUAUACAGGGAGAAACCCUCCCACGUGUGGGAGCUUGACGGUACUGUAGGAAUAAGGGUCGGCUAACUCCGUGCCAGCCGCCGCGGUAA
rnacentral:rRNA from 1 species